rnacentral:rRNA from 1 species
AAUACCGCAUGAGCCUCUUUUGUCGCAUGACGGGAGAGGGAAAGAGAAAUCGGUGAGAGAUGGAUCCGCGUCCGAUUAGCUAGUUGGAGGGGUAACAGCCCACCAAGGCGACGAUCGGUAGCCGACCUGAGAGGGUGGACGGCCACAUUGGGACUGAGACACGGCCCAAACUCCUACGGGAGGCAGCAGUGGGGAAUAUUGCACAAUGGGGGAAACCCUGAUGCAGCAACGCCGCGUGAGUGAGGAAGUAUUUCGGUAUGUAAAGCUCUAUCAGCAGGGAAUAGAAAAGAAGGUACCUGAAAAAGAAGCCCCGGCUAACUACGUGCCAGCAGCCGCGGUAAUACGUAGGGGGCAAGCGUUAUCCGGAUUUACUGGGUGUAAAGGGAGCGUAGACGGAAAGGCAAGUCAGAAGUGAAAGCCCAAGGCUCAACCAUGGGACUGCUUUUGAAACUGUCAAACUAGAGUACGGGAGAGGUAAGAGGAAUUCCUAGUGUAGCGGUGAAAUGCGUAGAUAUUAGGAGGAACACCAGUGGCGAAGGCGUCUUACUGGACCGAAACUGACGUUGAGGCUCGAAAGCGUGGGGAGCAAACAGGAUUAGAUACCCUGGUAGUCCACGCGGUAAACGAUGAAUACUAGGUGUUGGGGUAAAGAAACCUCGGUGCCGCAGC